CCUUAAAGAAGCGUUCUUUGAAGUGCUCACACAGAUUGUCUGAUAGAAAGUGAAAAGCAAGGCGUCUUGCGAAGCAGACUGAUACGUCCCCUUCGUCUAGAGGCCCAGGACACCGCCCUUUCACGGCGGUAACAGGGGUUCGAAUCCCCUAGGGGACGCCACUUGCUGGUUUGUGAGUGAAAGUCACCUGCCUUAAUAUCUCAAAACUCAUCUUCGGGUGAUGUUUGAGAUAUUUGCUCUUUAAAAAUCUGGAUCAAGCUGAAAAUUGAAACACUGAACAACGAGAGUUGUUCGUGAGUCUCUCAAAUUUUCGCAACACGAUGAUGAAUCGAAAGAAACAUCUUCGGGUUGUG
rnacentral:misc_RNA from 1 species